rnacentral:rRNA from 1 species
AGUGAACGCUGGCGGUAGGCCUAACACAUGCAAGUCGAACGGCAGCACAGAGGAGCUUGCUCCUUGGGUGGCGAGUGGCGGACGGGUGAGGAAUACAUCGGAAUCUACUCUGUCGUGGGGGAUAACGUAGGGAAACUUACGCUAAUACCGCAUACGACCUACGGGUGAAAGCAGGGGAUCUUCGGACCUUGCGCGAUUGAAUGAGCCGAUGUCGGAUUAGCUAGUUGGCGGGGUAAAGGCCCACCAAGGCGACGAUCCGUAGCUGGUCUGAGAGGAAGAUCAGCCACACUGGAACUGAGACACGGUCCAGACUCCUACGGGAGGCAGCAGUGGGGAAUAUUGGACAAUGGGCGCAAGCCUGAUCCAGCCAUACCGCGUGGGUGAAGAAGGCCUUCGGGUUGUAAAGCCCUUUUGUUGGGAAAGAAAUCCAUCUGGUUAAUACCCGGGUGGGAUGACGGUACCCAAAGAAUAAGCACCGGCUAACUUCAUGCCAGCCGCCGCAGUAA